AUGCCUUGAUGUGGGCAUUUCUUUAGUAAUUCCUUGUACCUCUCCUAAGCAUCAGGAAAUGUUUCAUCAUCCAGUUGUCUAAAAAGACAAAUUUCAUUUCUCAACUU